AAGCGGUGGAUGAUGUGGAUUAAUUCGAUGCAACGCGAAAACCUUACCUACCUUGACAUGUCCGGAAUCCUGCAGAGAUGCGGGAGUGCCCGAAAGGGAAUCGGAACACAGGUGCUGCAUGGCUGUCGUCAGCUCGUGUCGUGAGAUGUUGGGUUAAGUCCCGCAACGAGCGCAACCCUUAUCAUUAGUUGCUACGCAAGGGCACUCUAAUGAGACUGCCGGUGACAAACCGGAGGAAGGUGGGGAUGACGUCAAGUCCUCAUGGCCCUUAUGGUAGGGCUUCACACGUCAUACAAUGGUCGGUACAGAGGGUUGCCAAGCCGCGAGGCGGAGCCAAUCCCACAAAGCCGAUCGUAGUCCGGAUUGUUCUCUGCAACUCGAGAGCAUGAAGUCGGAAUCGCUAGUAAUCGCAGGUCAGCAUACUGCGGUGAAUACGUUCCCGGGUCUU
rnacentral:rRNA from 1 species